rnacentral:rRNA from 1 species
GUGAGGAAUUUUCCGCAAUGGGCGAAAGCCUGACGGAGCAAUGCCGCGUGAAGGAUGAAGGCCUAUGGGUUGUAAACUUCUUUUCUCAGAAAAGAAUUAUGACGGUAUCUGAGGAAUAAGCAUCGGCUAACUCUGUGCCAGCAGCCGCGGUAAGACAGAGGAUGCAAGCGUUAUCCGGAAUGAUUGGGCGUAAAGCGUCUGUAGGUUGUUUAAAAAGUAUUCUGUCAAAGAUUAGGGCUUAACCCUAGAUAGGCAGAAUAAACUUUUAAGCUAGAUUUUGGUAGAGGCAGAGGGAAUUCCCAGUGGAGCGGUGAAAUGCGUAGAUAUCGGGAGGAACACCAAAGGCGAAGGCACUCUGCUGGGCCAAUACUAACACUGAGAGACGAAAGCGAGGGGAGCAAAUGGGAUUAGAUACCCCGGUAUCC